GCAACAUAGAGGGAGUGUUUGUGUUGGGCUGAACGUCCUAGUAGCGUUUAUAAGCUAAAACGCACAUCAUUGCAUGCCAUAAUUGGACAUCACAGCACAGAGAGCGGACAUCAUAGCCAAGAAGGAUUCUGCCAAGUAAAGAAAUCCAAAAUGGCAAUGAAAAUGUUAUGUCUUACCCUGAUGUUAGUCGGAGCGUUAGUGCUUUCUGUGGAGUGCAGUUUAGAAAACUCAGAAUAUCAAGAUAUGGAUGCUAAAGCCGAUUCAUAUCGACCAAGACCAGGAAAACGAGCUCAUUUCGAAUAUAAAGAUUCACCACCUGUAUUCUCGAUGUUCAGACCAGGAAGAAAACGCUUUAUGGAAAACAAAUUGUAAAUCACUUGAUGGAGGGACAAUUAUCCACGAAUUAUUACAAUAGAGAUCACCUCUGUUAACUAAUGUUAUAGCUGACUUGAUUUUGAAUCAUGUUAUUAUAGUUUGAAAUUCAAAAAUAAAUAAAGGAAAAGCUUGAAAUUCC